AUUGAACGCUGGCGGCAGGCCUAACACAUGCAAGUCGAACGGUAACAGGAAGAAGCUUGCUUCUUUGCUGACGAGUGGCGGACGGGUGAGUAAUGUCUGGGAAACUGCCUGAUGGAGGGGGAUAACUACUGGAAACGGUAGCUAAUACCGCAUAACGUCGCAAGACCAAAGAGGGGGACCUUCGGGCCUCUUGCCAUCGGAUGUGCCCAGAUGGGAUUAGCUAGUAGGUGGGGUAACGGCUCACCUAGGCGACGAUCCCUAGCUGGUCUGAGAGGAUGACCAGCCACACUGGAACUGAGACACGGUCCAGACUCCUACGGGAGGCAGCAGUGGGGAAUAUUGCACAAUGGGCGCAAGCCUGAUGCAGCCAUGCCGCGUGUAUGAAGAAGGCCUCGGUUGUAAGUACUUUCUAGCGGGGAGGAAGGGAGGU
rnacentral:rRNA from 1 species